ACCAUGGAGGACUAGUGGUUAGGCCUCAGCGCUCUCACCGCUGUGGCCUGGGAUCAAUUCCCAGCCAGGGAA
rnacentral:tRNA from 1 species